GACACGACAUUAUAUGUUCCAGUUUACAGCAACAAGGGAGCGUUCCACAUAGAAAUAUUUGGUUAUGAGGGAGUGAUGCUGGAGCUGAUGUGUUGCUGACUCUCCUCCUCUGUCUCCUCUCACAGGGAGAAGAUGAUCUGCAGGAUCCUGCUGCUCAUCAUCCUCAACUCAUGUCUCUGUGCAGCAACAUUUGUAGUGAAUGUGACACAGAGCUCCUAUCAGGCAGAGGAGAACCACAACAUCACUCUGGAGUGGACCUUCACCACCAGACCUGAUGGACCCUGGAGAGAUCUGUUCAUCUACUGCAGCUUGUUAACUCCUAGGAAAGAAUUAAUCAUUUAUCAGGUCCAUGAUGGUGUUGAGGUGUCAGAGUCUCAGGAUGAACAGUUUUCAGGACGAGUCAAGAGUGACAAAGACGUCCUCAGAGAAGGACGAAUCAGACUCCAUGUGUCCAGACUGAGGACUGAAGACUCUGGUUGGUAUGUGUGUGAUGUGAAGACUGAUGAUGGUUCUGGUUCUGGAAGAUGUCAACUCAGCAUCUCUGCAGCUGCUGAAAAGCUUCAACCUCGGAGACCACUUUUGACUCCAGAACGAGAGAGAAGGAAAAAGAUCAUCUUGAUCACAGCAGCAGCAGCAACUUUGGUCGUUUCCUGUAUUAUUGUCCUGGUGUUUAUAUUUAUACGCAAAAAAAAAAAGUUCAAUCCUGGCAUAACGUUAAAAUAUGUUCGGGGAAAAUUAUCUGCAGCCUGGAUAGAAGCACGUUAGAAAAUAUCCAUCCAUCCAUUUUCUGACCCGCUUAAUCCCUCAUGGGGUCACACACACUCACACCUAAGGACA